AAAGAGCUCUACAGACUCACAGGUGGCACCCGGCCAAUCAGUGGAAAUCAAGGUGUCUGCAGGGCUGCAGGAAAGAAGCUGUUCCGGGCCUCUCUGGAGGUGCCCAGCACCCCUGGCAUGCAGGCACCUCGCUCCAGCCCCUGCCCGUCCUCACACAGCCCCCAAGCUCAGCAAGAUGAGAAGGCUGGCCCACAGGCCAUAGCGGCCCCCAAGCUGUAACGUCCU
rnacentral:lncRNA from 1 species